CACUCAUCACCCUGUGACAUACCUAUAACGUUGCCUCGGCGGGAACAGACGGCCCCGUAACACGGGCCGCCCCCGCCAGAGGACCCCCUAACUCUGUUUCUAUAAUGUUUCUUCUGAGUAAACAAGCAAAUAAAUUAAAACUUUCAACAACGGAUCUCUUGGCUCUGGCAUCGAUGAAGAACGCAGCGAAAUGCGAUAAGUAAUGUGAAUUGCAGAAUUCAGUGAAUCAUCGAAUCUUUGAACGCACAUUGCGCCCGCCAGUAUUCUGGCGGGCAUGCCUGUUCGAGCGUCAUUACAACCCUCAGGCCCCCGGGCCUGGCGUUGGGGAUCGGCGGAAGCCCCCUGCGGGCACAACGCCGUCCCCCAAAUACAGUGGCGGUCCCGCCGCAGCUUCCAUUGCGUAGUAGCUAACACCUCGCAACUGGAGAGCGGCGCGGCCACGCCGUAAAACACCCAACUUCUGAAUGUUGACCUCGAAUCAGGUAGGAAUACCCGCUGAACUUAAGCAUAUCAAUAAGCGGAGGA
rnacentral:rRNA from 1 species